AAACAUAAGAGUGCGGGUGGGUGUUUUUCCUGCCACACAUUCUAAUAUGUGGUAAAAGUCCGUGGUCUUAUCAAGUGUCAAGGCUUUCUCACAUUUACCUACCUGGUAGAUUGGUAAUCUGCCUGAGUACUUAAUGGAAGGCAAACCAGACAAGUGUUCUUACAAUUAAUGCAGUUGUUAGUUUGGUUAAAAGUGGAGGGUGAGGUGAUUCUUCUUUAACAUUAAAACAGGCUUGGGAAACCUCUGGCCCACCCAGUACUGUUGGACUACAACUCCCUUCAUCCCCAUCCAGCAUGACCAGUUCUUUGGGGUGAUGGAAGUUGUAGUCCAACAACAGCUGGAGGACCAUGGGUUCCCUAGCCCUGAACUAAACCUGGGUAUUGGAGUGAAGCCCAACCCCUUUAGUCUACUGCCUUAAGAUAUUAAUCUCAAGCCCAUCUAUUAUACUAGAAGUAGACCAGUAGAAUGGGAGUGAAAAUAUUCUUUAAGAAGCGGAGACAGUUAAGGCAUGAAGCAGGUUUUGGUCUUUCUGUUAGUCAACUUUAACCGCUAUACCUGUGCUGUAUAGCCCAAUGGAUGAGAGUGUGCCUGGUAAACAUCUCUGUCUCUGGUUUGGAUACCUUUCCUUAAGGAAAGGUUACAGGUUUUUUGUUUCAUUUCUAAGGAAUGAUUUAUCCCUACUUGCUUCAUCAUGGUUUGUAAAAAUCCUGGUUUUUGUGGUUCGAAAGGUAAACAUAUUUGCCAUAGUCCUAUCUCUGAAGCUUUGGUUCUGUAUGCAUGUAUUCUCAAUCAUAGGGGUGAGUGGAGUAUGCAUAUAUACCCCAUUCAAACAUAUGGUUAAUCCUGGUUUUAAGGUAUAAAGUAGGGACAUUGUGUGGUAAAUUACUUCAAACACUUGGGGUACAGGCCCACUGUACAAAUGCCCAUUAAAACUUGCAUGUGCUAGUUUAUAUUUAUAGAUGCACAUUUAGGCUGACUGUCAUAGGGCAAAAUUUACUCUGGCUGUCAGGACUUAUUCUGAGAUAUGGCGACCAACAAGAUUUUCUGGUUUGAGUGCACUGUGUCAUACCAUCUAACAUUUUCCAAUGCCAUGUGCCUUCCAAGAUGUGCUCCUGGGCAAGUAACAUGACCUGGGCCACGUUUUGCUCCCCCCCCCCCCCCGCUUUUUCAGGGUGUGAGAGUGCUGCACUUAUAGUUGCUAUCUAGAUUUCACCUGGAAAUACGGGAUGUCCCAUUUUUUCUGGGGCACUUGGAAGGUAUGCUGUGUGUUGAGUGGACCCUCUACCCCCACCCCACAUAACCUGUUCAGAAAAUCUUCUUAUGUACAUAUUAAAACUACUAGUAGCUGAACCCCUUCUCGCCAAUCCCUCCAGACCUCACCAGCUCCCUGCCGCUCCCCUUAGACUUUGCCAAGCACCUUACAGCUGACCCAAACUCCCACCCUGCCCCUAGGCCUCCUCCCACCUCUCUACACAUAGUACCAGCCUCACACAGAGGUGGGCAGCAGCAGUGGCAGCAGAGCAGGCUGGUUGCUGGAGAACUGCCUGGGCACGUCCUGACUGUUUCUCUGCAGCUUGCCUUGGCCUCUGGGCAAAUUAGGGUGCAUACACAACAUACAUUUAAAGCAUACAUCCCCGCCCUCCCAAAAAAGAAUCCUAGGUGAACUGUAGUUCACCCCUCACAGAGCUUACCAAGCUGCAGUGGCCUAGAGUUUUUGAGAAGGAUAGGGUUCAAAUGUGUUUUAAAUGUGUAUACACAGCCUAGGGUGUGUGAUAGCUAAAGUCUCACAUGCAUCUCACUUUGUAGCACUCCCAAUUGCCCUAUAUUUUUUAAAAAAAGAUAAAGGAAGUUAAAAAGAGGGAGAAGGCAAUCUGAGGCCUGGCACAAAAGGCCUGGGCCUUAGGCCUUGUGGGCUUAACAUCCCAACAGUGCCCUGGGUGUAAAAUGAACGUUUCCUUUUUAAAAACUGUAAUUGCAAAGCACACAUGUGCAAAGCGUGCACAUUUUGUAAUUUGUCAUGAGCUGCCAAGAUGACAGAGGGGAGGAAGAGGAUCCCGGUCAGGGGUGUAGCCGAGACUGGGCAAGCAGGGGAUGGGGAAGGAAGUACUCACAGGGUGACGGAGGAUGAUGAGGGGAUGGAGGUCAGUGCGCACAAACCAGAGCAGCAGCACCUAUCACCAGAGCCAGAGGGGCCCCAGUCCCCACAAACACAGUGGGCCCUGAGGUAUGAGGAGCAGUGGGAGUGGUUCUCUAGGAGGUUGAGGCAAGCAAGGGCCCACAGCCCAGUUCCCUAGUUCUGGGAAGAGGGAUUUGAUUCCUCAGCUGGAGCAGGACUGGAACAGGUGAGGGUCACCUGCCUCGUCAAGCCCAGAUGCUGCAAUCAGCAAAGUACAAAAGGGGAGCAGAGCUGAAGGGCUGUGUCUGCUCAGCUGCCCAUGUUGAUAGCCCUUGGCUUGGGUGUUCUUGGACCUCUACAGGGCUGUGCUUUGGGAUUGACUCUAUCCUGACUGCUGGACUUUGGAAUUGGCUUGACCCUGAAGUGUGUUUCCUGACUGUUGGACUUUGCUUGUGCGGAUUGACCCUUGGACUUUGAACGUUGGGGUUGGCAUACUGACUUGCUGCCAGGUAGGCCAGGGGUUCUGGAUAUAAUUGCACCCAAAAAAAAGAUAAAGACAACCCUAAAACAAUAACUUUGCACCUCAAACCCCAAUUGACUUACCUUCUUAACAGCAACCAAUAUAUGUGUAAAGUUUAAAUUCCAUUGUUACCAAAUUGUGCGUUGGAAGAGAAAGAGGUGAGCCCAUUCAAUUAGUCAGGAGAGACAUAAUGGAAGAAACCAGGAAGCAUGUUAAACAAAACAAAACAGCAGGGCCUACUAAAUACUGGCAAGGUCACCAUGGUAGGAGUAAUUUGUGUUUGUGUGGGUGUACAGGGAAUCAACUGACAGUUAAUGCAGUAACACUCACUGUGUGUCACUGCAAUAACACCUGGAGCAGAAGUGAACACAGCACCUAUCUGUUUAAGAGCUCCACUCUGUUUAUAUUAUCCUCUCCCUCACACAUAGAAGUGAAGUGAGCAAGUGAGGCUGGGAGAAGAAAACAAAUGAUGCUAAAUGGGUGCAAUCUCCAUGUGUAAUAUUUCUACUCCUGAGUCCUACUUCAGGGUCAAACUUACAAGAUAAACUAAUGGAAGAUAAAUGACUGGAGUUGUUGCACCACUUGUAUUAAUACAUCAGUUUGUAAAGGGCCAGGAAACAGAGAAUUGAAGUGAGUGGGGAAAGGCAACUCUGAAGCCACCUACUUGAGAUCACUUCACUUGGAUUAGAUGGCUCUUAGACCACUUUAACCGCCAUGCCUUCCUCAAAAAGUGAG